UGUCCCAGUGAUCCUAGGAGCCGUCAGAGGCUUCAUGCCUCUCUUUGGGUCAGGUCUGCCGGGACAAACGGGCCUAGGUGAGGGAUAGGACUAAGAGCAGCCCAAAGAUUGCUUAGAAAUAUAAACACAGAAUGUUCAUAUUUGGAGAUGGUGAUAUAGACAGGGUUCCCGCUUACAACCAGAGCUAUGGACAGAAGUCAGUUUCUCCCAGUGUUUUAUCACCCUGUUGGGCCAACAGGCUUUAUUCCCCGACCCCCCCACCCCUCCCCAACAGGCUUUGGGUUGUUAUUUUAGAUGGGAAUUUUUCUACACUAGUGACAGUAAAGACAGAUUAAAGUAAAGGUUUAAAGUUGAAAUGUUGAACUGACUGCGGAGUUGUGAACCAAUUAUGCCGUCCCAUCAGUUGCCUAUUGGCUUCACGUGCUGUUACUUCUGAGUUUUGAUGCCUGAUCCUGCACCUCAGACUUUCUGUAACUUGACAUUUGUUAACUCAAACACGUAGCAGACCGCUGAUGGACGACCUUAGCAGCUCUUCCACCAGGUCCAGCAAGUUUUCUGGAGGAAACCCUGGAAGCUUUCCCAGGGAGAGUUUCAUCAGGUGUGCCACAGCAGCUUGAUGGAAUCAGACUCCAGUACCGUCAGUAAUGAGCCGACCGGGUCGCCAGUGUAUCUCUACGACUCUCUCAUCUGAGGCGCCAUUGGUGGGGGAGAUUUGAGAUCAAACCGCCUGAAAGUGGCCUGACCUGUUGAGUUUGAGUCGCUAUGUCACACUGAGUCGAUGGAGACUGGAAGAGAGGAGACACAACGAACUUUUCCUGCUGGGCAGAUCUGAGAGAAGAAAAUUAGGAUUUAACUAUACCGUCCUAAUGAGAAGCCGCUUUCUGACCCAGAUGAACUCCAUUAAUCCAUCCAUUAAACAUGUUAAACACAAAUUAAGAAGAAUUUGUCUGUGUUGGUAAUUAUUCUAUGGCUGUAUGUCUGAUUGUUAUUUAAAUUGUCAUUAUUACUAUUAUGUUUCCAUAGAUUUUUCUUGUCUUAUGAGUUAGUUUGUAACCAUUUUGACUAUGAAAUAUAUUUUGUUUGUUGGCUCUUAAGCACAGUAUAUCGAACAGGAAGAUGAAUAUUAUAACAUUGUUUUAAUUACAAACUUUUGAUAAUUAGGGUAUUUAUACAGAAAUGCAUUAAAUUGAGAUAAAGAUAGGAUUAAAUAAGUGUUCUUCCUAUUCCUUUUCAAACAGCAAAGGAGUGGUAAGCCAAUUAUUUUGUUGGUUAUGUAUGCAGGAUUUUUUUUCUGUCCUACAAAUUGCUUGUUUUUGAAGACCUGUUUGAAAUAAAUCGAAUAUUUGUUGGUUUGAGUAAGUUAGAAGCACUUACAGAAUAGUGCUGCUAUAAUUGUUUGUGUGCUAGAAGUGAGCUAAGGUGGAAUAAUUUUUUGUGCCAGGUUGUAAAUAUUGAUUUUGAAGCAGGUCAAAGAGAAUCCAGUGCUGUAACGGCUGUGAAUUAAUGGAGAUGCUCAUUGUUGCUCUCAUAUCUUGUCUGUCAACAGUCGUCCUUAAUAAAGGAACCCAUAAAACAACAGUUUAACUACUUGUGUGUGUAAUAGCGGUGUAAUAGUGUAUAUUAGGUGUACAGUGACCUGCGCAAUCCGGUGGACACAUUGUGGCCACGCUGUAUUUGAUAACAGACUACCAUACAAUGUAUUAAUGUGCAAAAAGAGCUUGCGGUGAUCUGUAUUUGUAGAUGUCUGUGUUUUAUUUAAUUUCAAUAAAAACCUGUUUCACCCGUCUGAUAC